rnacentral:rRNA from 1 species
AUUGAACGCUGGCGGCAGGCCUAAUACAUGCAAGUCGAGCGAAUGAAAUUCCUUCGGGAACGGAUUUAGCGGCGGACGGGUGAGUAACACGUGGGCAACCUGCCUCAUAGAGGGGAAUAGCCUUCCGAAAGGGAGAUUAAUACCGCAUAAGAUUGUAGUACCGCAUGGUACAGCAAUUAAAGGAGCAAUCCGCUAUGAGAUGGGCCCGCGGCGCAUUAGCUAGUUGGUGAGGUAACGGCUCACCAAGGCGACGAUGCGUAGCCGACCUGAGAGGUGAUCGGCCACAUUGGACUGAGACACGGCCCAGACUCCUACGGAGGCAGCAGUGGGAAUAUUGCACAAUGGGGGAAACCCUGAUGCAG